AAUCAACGCUGGCGGCGUGCCUCAGACAUGCAAGUCGAACGCGAAAGUUCCCUUCGGGGGAUAAGUAGAGUGGCGUCCGGGUGAGUAACACGUAGGUAAUCUACCUUUGGGUGGGGAAUAACAACCGGAAACGGUUGCUAAUACCGCAUAAUGCAGCGGCACCACAUGGUGACAGUUGUUAAAGCGGGGGAUCGCACGACCUCGCGCCUAAAGAGGAGCCUGCGGCGGAUUAGCUAGUUGGAGGGUAACGGCCUACCAAGGCAACGAUCCGUAGCCGGCCUGAGAGGGCGGUCGGCCACACUGACACUGAAAUACGGGUCAGACUCCUACGGGAGGCAGCAGUCGGGAAUUUUGGGCAAUGGGCGAAAGCCUGACCCAGCAACGCCGCGUGAAGGAUGAAAUCCCUCGGGAUGUAAACUUCGCAAGAACAGGAAGAAUAAGUAGGGGACAAUACCCCCUAUGAUGACGGUACUGUUUGUAAGCUCCGGCUAACUCCGUGCCAGCAGCCGCAGUAAC
rnacentral:rRNA from 1 species